GGCGGUGUAGCUCAGCUGGCUAGAGCGUACGGUUCAUACCCGUGAGGGCGGGGGUUCGAUCCCCUCCACCGCCA
rnacentral:tRNA from 2 species